CCCUACCCAUAGUAGGUGGGACAGAAAGACCGAAAGACAGAUUUUAUACAAUUAAAGAAAUGAUCAUUCAAUUUAACUUUAAUUCCCAACUUUAGGGAAUUUUAUACACAAAACAUUUAAGAUAUACAUGUUUUAGGCCAUACCAAUGCUAUUCUAUGGUUUAAGUCAAAAUUUUUAACAAGAAGGAAAAAUUCAUUAUUUUUCACUUUUUUUAAAGAUCCUUUAAUUUGCAACAAAACAGUCAGAGGCUAGGUAAGGAUAAUUUAACAGUCAGAGGCUAGGUAAGGAUAAUUUAAGUCAGAGGCUAGGUAAGGAUAAUUUAACAGUCAGAGGCUAGGUAAGGAUAAUUUAACAGUCAGAGGCUAAAUAAGGAUAAUUUAACAGUCAGAGGCUAGGUAAGGAUAAUUCAACAGACAGAGGCUAGGUAAGGAUAAUUUAACAGUCAGAUCUUCACUCUUAUCCCUACUUGCCUAAAAUUAGGGUUAUUUUGACCUUAACACACUCUAAACACUUGUUUAUUGUUGAAGAACAUAUGUUGACCUCUAGAUGUCGAUUGGUUUUUUGUGUUGUUGGGUUUCUGGAAACCUUUACCCCACAUCUCAAUUUAUCAAAAACAAAUUUAUUGCAGUUUUUGACAUUAUGCUUAAAAGUUGAAAAUCUCUAGACUGCAUUUUAUUAUGAACAAACAUUAUAUCUAUAUAUAAAUAAAAUACUGGUAUGAAAAAGUAAAAUGCACAAUGUCAAUUUCAUUGGAAUGUAAUGAUAUAACUACAUAUAAAGGACAGUCAUUAAUAUGUGUUCAUUGCAAACAGAUAAAACUAAGGGCAGUUUUACAAAAACAUACAUAGGAACAAAUGAAGGCACUUCAAAU